UACGUAGGGCGCAAGCGUUGUCCGGAAUUAUUGGGCGUAAAGAGCUCGUAGGUGGCGUGUCGCGUCUGCCGUGAAAGCCCAUGGCUUAACUGUGGGUCUGCGGUGGAUACGGGCAGGCUGGAGGCUGGUAGGGCAAGCGGAAUCCUGGUGUAGCGGUGAAAUGCGCAGAUAUCAGGAGGAACACCGGUGGCGAAGGCGGCUUGCUGGGCCAGUUCUGACGCUGAGGAGCGAAAGCGUGGGGAGCGAACAGG
rnacentral:rRNA from 1 species